rnacentral:rRNA from 1 species
CCUACGGGUGACAGCAGUGAGGAAUAUUGGUCAAUGGGCGCGAGCCUGAACCAGCCAAGUCGCGUGAAGGAUGACUGCCCUACGGGUUGUAAACUUCUUUUAUAAAGGAAUAAAGUGAGGUACGUGUGCCUUAUUGUAUGUACCUUAUGAAUAAGGAACGGCUAACUUCGUGCCAGGAGCCGCGGUAAUACGGAGGAUGCGAGCGUUAUCCGGAUUUAUUGGGUUUAAAGGGAGCGUAGAGGGGUUGUUAAGUCAGUUGUGAAAGUUUGCGGCUCAACCGUAAAAUUGCAGUUGAAACUGGCAGCCUUGAGUACAGUAGAGGUAGGCGGAAUUCGUGGUGUAGCGGUGAAAUGCGUAGAUAUCACGAAGAACUCCAGUGGCGAAGGCAGCUUACUGGACUGCCACUGACGUUGAGGCGCGAAAGUGUGGGUAGCAAACAGGAUUAGAUACCCAUGUAGUC